GACGAACGCUGGCGGCGUGCCUAAUACAUGCAAGUAGAACGCUGAAGGAGGAGCUUGCUCUUCUGGAUGAGUUGCGAACGGGUGAGUAACGCGUAGGUAACCUGCCUGGUAGCGGGGGAUAACUAUUGGAAACGAUAGCUAAUACCGCAUAAAAUUGAUUAUUGCAUGAUAGUCAAUUAAAAGGUGCAAUUGCAUCACUACCAGAUGGACCUGCGUUGUAUUAGCUAGUUGGUGAGGUAACGGCUCACCAAGGCAACGAUACAUAGCCGACCUGCGAGGGGGAUCGGCCACCCUGGGACUGGGACACGGCCCAGACUCCUACGGGAGGCAGCAGUAGGGAAUCUUCGGCAAUGGACGGAAGUCUGACCGAGCAACGCCGCGUGAGUGAAGAAGGUUUUCGGAUCGUAAAGCUCUGUUGUAAGAGAAGAACGAGUGUGAGAGUGGAAAGUUCACACUGUGACGGUAUCUUACCAGAAAGGGACGGCUAACUACGUG
rnacentral:rRNA from 1 species